AUUCAGUCUGCUCUCUCGCAUCGACCAAACUAACGAGCACCAUUUUAAACUGAUGACUGUUUGUUUAAAUUCUGUUUUACAUGACUUGGACGGCAAACCUUUGAGAGUUGCCAAAGUUGGAUUUACUUUUUGCCACUUCAGGCAGUCCCAGCGGUGAUCCCGUGAACAUGGAAAGUCUGUAAAUAAAAUACUCCGCAAGGUACUGGCUUAUCGAGGACCCAGUUUUGCUUCAAAUGUCCCAGCCUGCUUCAAAAUGGCCACCAUCGUCCCUGUACCCAAAUCCUCCACCAUCUCAUCAUUGAACGACUGGCGACCUGUAGCCCUGACCCCCAUCGUGAGCAAAUGCUUCGAGAAGCUGGUCAGGGACUUCAUCUGCUCCGCACUACCCGACUCACUGGACCCUCUACAGUUCGCAUACCGCCACAACAGGUC
ensembl:lncRNA